rnacentral:rRNA from 1 species
UACGGAGGGUGCAAACGUUGCUCGGAAUCAUUGGGCGUAAAGCGCACGUAGGCGGCUUUGUGUGUCGGAUGUGAAAUCCCUCGGCUCAACCAAGGAAGUGCAUUCGAAACUGCAAAGCUUGAGUACUUAAGAGGAUCGCGGAAUUCCCGGUGUAGAGGUGAAAUUCGUAGAUAUCGGGAGGAACACCAGUGGCGAAGGCGGCGAUCUGGGAAGAUACUGACGCUGAGGUGCGAAAGCGUGGGGAGCAAACAGG